UACGUAGGGGGCUAGCGUUGUCCGGAUUUAUUGGGCGUAAAGAGCGUGUAGGCGGCCACACAGGUCUGCUGUGAAAACUCGAGGCUCAACCUCGAGCUGUCGGUGGAAACCGUCUGGCUAGAGUCCGGAAGAGGAGAAUGGAAUUCCUGGUGUAGCGGUGAAAUGCGCAGAUAUCAGGAAGAACACCCGUGGCUAAGGCGGUUCUCUAGUACGGUACUGACGCUGAGACGCGAAAGCGUGGGAGCGAACAGG
rnacentral:rRNA from 1 species